rnacentral:rRNA from 1 species
UACGUAGGGUGCGAGCGUUAAUCGGAAUUACUGGGCGUAAAGCGUGCGCAGGCGGUUUUGUAAGUCAGUUGUGAAAUCCCCGGGCUUAACCUGGGAACUGCGUUUGAAACUGAAAGGCUAGAGUGUGGCAGAGGGGGGUGGAAUUCCACGUGUAGCAGUGAAAUGCGUAGAGAUGUGGAGGAACACCGAUGGCGAAGGCAGCCCCCUGGGCUAACACUGACGCUCAUGCACGAAAGCGUGGGGAGCAAACAGG